GUCAGAAUGGCCGAGCGGUCUAAGCGCCAACGCAAGCUUGUGCACCUUUCCAAAACAGAGAAGAUUUCUGGUCUCCGAAUGGCAGGCGUGGGUUCAAACCCCACUUCUGACA
rnacentral:tRNA from 1 species